GACGAACGCUGGCGGCGUGCUUAACACAUGCAAGUCGAACGAGGAGCGAUGGAAGCUUGCUUCUAUCAAUCUUAGUGGCGAACGGGUGAGUAACGCGUAAUCAACCUGCCCUUCAGAGGGGGACAACAGUUGGAAACGACUGCUAAUACCGCAUACGAUCUAAUCUCGGCAUCGAGGAUAGAUGAAAGGUGGCCUCUACAUGUAAGCUAUCACUGAAGGAGGGGAUUGCGUCUGAUUAGCUAGUUGGAGGGGUAACGGCCCACCAAGGCGAUGAUCAGUAGCCGGUCUGAGAGGAUGAACGGCCACAUUGGGACUGAGACACGGCCCAGACUCCUACGGGAGGCAGCAGUGGGGAAUCUUCCGCAAUGGACGAAAGUCUGACGGAGCAACGCCGCGUGAGCGAUGACAGCCUUCGGGUUGUAAAGCUCUGUUAAUCGGGACGAAAGGCCUUCUUGCGAAUAGUGAGAAGGAUUGACGGUACCGGAAUAGAAAGCCACGGCUAACUACGUG
rnacentral:rRNA from 1 species